GCAAACUUGGUCAUUUAGAGGAAGUAAAAGUCGUAACAAGGUUUCCGUAGGUGAACCUGCGGAAGGAUCAUCACUGAUUCGGGGGCGCGCCACGCGGCGGCAGGCAACUGCUUGCGCGUCGUGUGUGCGUGUACCCCAACCAAUCUUGUGUGAACCGUAACGAGCACUACUGCGUGUGGUGGGGAAGAUUGGUUGGUGGGGGGGGGGAACGUGUGUACGUUCCGUUUGUGGGGACGACGACGACGACACCCACCGCCAACCACACACCAUCAUGCGAGCAUAUUAUCUCCAUACAAUCUUGUCUAACAACAUUACACACACUAAAUUACACAACUUUUAACAAUGGAUCUCUUGGCUCUCGCAUCGAUGAAGAACGCAGC
rnacentral:misc_RNA from 1 species